AACGAACGCUGGCGGCAGGCCUAACACAUGCAAGUCGAGCGAGGACUCCGGUUCUAGCGGCGGACGGGUGAGUAACGCGUGGGAAUGUGCCCUUCUCUACGGAAUAGCUCUGGGAAACUGGGAGUAAUACCGUAUACGCCCUAUUGGGGAAAGAUUUAUCGGAGAAGGAUCAGCCCGCGUUGGAUUAGGUAGUUGGGGGGGUAAUGGCCUACCAAGCCGCCGAUCCAUAGCUGGUUUGAGAGGAUGAUCAGCCACACUGGGACUGAGACACGGCCCAGACUCCUACGGGAGGGAGCAGUGGGGUAUCUUAGACAAUGGGGGCAACCCUUAUCGCGCCAUGCCGCGUGAGUGACGAAGGCCUUAGGGUAGUAAAGCUCUUUCAGCUGGGACAAUAAUGACGGUAACCGCAGAAGAAGCCCCGGCUAACUCCGUG
rnacentral:rRNA from 1 species